rnacentral:lncRNA from 1 species
UGUCUUUCUAGAUACACUUUCCAGUACAACUACUAUUUUACAAUUUAUCUUAUUUUAAAAAUAAGAACGAUAGGCGAUAUGUACACACGGAGAAGAAUGGAAAUACUAAUUAGGGUACUUAUUAUCACAUCUACCACAUUUAAGCUUUUUAAUCUUUGGUCAUCAUAUACAAUAUGCAUCACCAAAUUUAUUUUUAUACUUGACUAUGCAUUUACGGAAAUUAUUAAUGGCCGUGCAUUUGUGUUGAUCAGCGCUAAACUUGGGACUUCAUUAUUUUUGUUUGUUUUUGUUUUGAUGCUGCAACCAGGGAUUGGGUGCGACUCAAAUCUCUUUCGGUGCUACACGCGCUGCUGCGAGAUAGCACCCAAAAUUCGAAAGAGACGUGCAGGAGUAUUUUUCUCUGGACUGCACCCUGGCUGUGCUGACUCGCAAUGUGCUUUGGGAUGCAUAGUAUCGAGUUGUCUCAUUUUCACUCUUUGCGUUUCGUACACGCGUAAACAAAUUCACUUGAAUUCAUUUCAUUAAUAUGUGACUGUCAAAACUGUUAAACACAUUGAACAUAAUUCGUCACCACCUUAUGUUUCUGACUUUACCAAAUAUGUCAAGAUCCACAACAAUAAGAUUUUGCAAAGCACUUAUUGAGCUUGUCCGCUUUCAAAGCAUACUUUGUUGAAAAUAUUCUAGAGUGGAUUAUGUGCUUUCACGAAAGAGACUGAAAGAGUAGAGAUUGUGCUUUGCUUGUCUCGCACAAAAACAAAUUGUCUCCUGCGCCUUGCUUUGAGUUUACUCGCAAAGAAUGGGAGACGCACAAUCAAUUUCUGAGUGACCCGCAUGUUUUUGGCACUGCACUGAGUUUUCAGACAUUCCCUGGCUGCAACUCUAUCGACGAGGAGCAAAAAUUUAGAAUUUUCAUAAUUGUAGCUUUAAAAUGAACGUGUCGUUGAAAAGAUUAAAGUGGCAAGCAGCAGGCUAUUGUGCACAAACUUGUGUCGGAAAGUACUUCCCGCGAAAACACGACUUCCCUUUCGUUUCCCGGUUAUCUGGCAUUUCAUUCGUGUGCAGGAGAACGUAAUUAUCAACGAAGUAUCCUCGAAAGCUCAGCUAUCAGUCGGAAACAACCAAGAGGACUCCAGGAGGAUAACAACUUCAUCUAGUUGGGACAGCAGCAGGUGCAGCAGUUUGUGCACUAUCCAAGCGUUUUCAUAGUUGCUUUCAAUUAGUGAUAAAAUGUAACCCUAAAGAAAUUGCAUGAUGAAAUAAAUUAAUAUUUAUCAUUUUGUUUCAUUCAA